GAGAUGCUUCCUGAGUCAAGAGCUGAGGCAACCCGAAGUCAGAUGUAGAAAGAGAGGUGACAGCACCAGCUGUGGGCCAGGAGUUGAGAGGGUUUUAAGCUCUUGUGUCACUGGCAGACCCAAACAUCUGCAUGGUUCAGAAAAAUCAGCAUCAAAACACUGUUAGUCCAAAGACACACAAACUGCCAGUGUCAAUACUGAUGUAUACAUAACUCCACUGAGGACUUGUUAGGAAUUUUAUGUCCACUUUUGGCUCUCCAGCUGAAGACACUGAAAGACAUUGAAAAACUGGAGAGGAUCCAUUGGAGAGACAUCAAGAUGAUUAGAGGGUUGGAGAGCCUAGUGUAUGAAGAAAGGCUGAAGGAACUGGAUUUGUUC